rnacentral:rRNA from 1 species
AACCCACUGUGAACCUUACCUAUCGUUGCUUCGGCGGGACCGCCCCGGCGCCGGCUCAGGCCCGGAACCAGGCGCCCGCCGGAGGCCCGAAACUCUUGUCUUUACAGUUUUCUCCUCUGAUUGAAAAACAAAAUAAAUCAAAACUUUCAACAACGGAUCUCUUGGUUCUGGCAUCGAUGAAGAACGCAGCGAAAUGCGAUAAGUAAUGUGAAUUGCAGAAUUCAGUGAAUCAUCGAAUCUUUGAACGCACAUUGCGCCCGCCAGUAUUCUGGCGGGCAUGCCUGUUCGAGCGUCAUUUCAACCCUCAGGCCCCGCCUGGCGUUGGGGAUCGGCGCGGCGCGAGAGCGCUGCCGGCCCCGAAAUACAGUGGCGGUCUCGCUGUAGUCCUCCUCUGCGUAGUAGCAACACCUCGCACUGGAACGCGGCGCGGCCAAGCCGUUAAACACCCCACUUCUGAAAGUUGAGCUCGGAUCAGGUAGGAAUACCCGCUGAACUUAAGCAUAGCAAUGAGCGGAGGGGGAUCAUUACGAU